rnacentral:lncRNA from 1 species
UGGACCACGGGACUGAUGGAUUUCAGUAGGAGUGGCGCGGAGGAGGGAGCGGGAGCAGCAGCAGGAUUGGGGUAGAUUGAGGUUCUGGGGGAACAGGGGCUCAGAGCAGCUUCCUCCUCCUCCUCCUCUUCCCACAAUGCACUCCCGCAGCUGCCCUGGUCUGUCAAUGCUCAGACAAGGUGGUGUAUUCUUCCAUUCAACAAAUAUUUCUUGAGUGCCUGCCAUGACAAGUCCUGGGUUCUGCAUGAUUGGGAAUGAGAUCUACACACUGCCUGCCUCAGGGAGCUCUCAGUCGAGUGUCACUAAGAGGGAGUUAAAGAAUUCUGUGUUCCGGGCAUUGUGGAUUCAGACUGAAGGUUCAGAACGAAGAAGACCUGCCUCUACUCCCCUACUCUGGAGGGGGUCACAGUCCAUGGAGGAGACAGACAACAGGCCUGGCUUGACUAUCCUGCUGCCCCAGGGCUGGAGCCCAGCUGGCCAAGAGAAUCUAUUUCAAAGCGUGUCUAUGGAAUACAACUCAGCAAUAGCAAGUAACGACUGUUAAUACCCACAACGACUUGAAUGGAUCUUAAGGGCAUUAUGCUGAGUGCAAAAAGCGGAUCUCAAAAGGUUACAUACUUUAUGAUUCCAU